rnacentral:lncRNA from 1 species
GCUCCUCAGACACGAAGCUUCUAUACGCUACCUUUCAGUUUUGGGUGAGGGUGGACGUGCGAAAUUCCCACUGUCCAAGGAUCACAUCCCUUCUAGGUGAUUCUUCCUCCAGCUGAUCUGCCAGGCCCCAAGGGGUGUUUCCGUUUCUUUCUGGAGUGUCCCAGGGUUUCUGUGUGUUGUUCUGGCUGUCCUGGAACUCGAUUGUAGACCAAGGGGGCUACAAACCUGCCUGCCUGCCUAAUGCCUCCCAGAUGCUGGGAUUAAAGGCGGUUGCCACCACACGCUGCUGCUUUUAAAAAAACUAAACAGUUGGCAACUAAGCCUUCGAGCCUGCUAGAAGAGGCCCCAGUUGGUACGGUAAUACUUAUUCACCAAGCUGGUCAUCGACGAGAGUGAGGAUAUCCUAGACGGAGCAAGAAUGGGCAGAGGCUGAAGAACCUACUAUGAAGCUUACUUUUCAAGCACAGAAAAUUUGGUCUACAUAGCCUCCUUUACAAGGUGACUUUUUUUUUUUUUUAACCUUAGAGGAAAAUGAAAAGUGGACAAGAAAACUUUGGAGAUAAGAUGGUGAGUUGGUUCUAUUCUUGUUCAGUUGACUUCACCAUUACACACUGCCCUUGUCUAAAAAACAAACAAAGCAACU